rnacentral:rRNA from 1 species
AUUGAACGCUGGCGGCAUGCCUUACACAUGCAAGUCGAACGGCAUCGCGGGAAAGCUUGCUUUCCUGGCGGCGAGUGGCGAACGGGUGAGUAACGCAUCGGAACGUACCGGCUAGUGGGGGAUAACCCGUCGAAAGACGGGCUAAUACCGCAUACGCUCUUCGGAGGAGAGCAGGGGACCUUUGGGCCUUGCGCUAGUCUAGCGGCCGAUGUCCGCUGAGCUAGUUGGUGGGGUUAAGGCCUCCCAAGGCGACGAGCGGUAGCGGGUGUGAGAGGACGGUCGGCCGCACUGGAGCUGGGACACGGCCAAGACUCCUGCGGGAGGCAGCAGUGGGGAAUGUGGGACAAUGGGGGCAACCCUGAUCCAGCGAGGCCGCGUGGGUGAAGGAGGCCUUGGGGUUGUAAAGCCCGUUCGGCAGGGAAGAAAUCGGCGGGGCGAAUAACCCGGCUGGAUGACGGUACCGGCUGAAGAAGCACCGGCUAACUACGUG